UCGCGAUUUGUCCAGAAGUACACGCCUCUUAACUGGAGGAACUGAACUUCCGAAAACAUUGAGAGUUCAUCAUUGCUAAUGCGCUGCGGUCGGAGAUUUCGAGGAAAAUAAUUGGAAAUACUGGUCCAGCGUUGUCAAUGGGGAAACAUACAGCUGUUACUCAGAACGUUCAGAGGCGGAAACCAAUUUUUGACAUUUCAAAACUCAAACAGAAUCUGGAAUAAAGCAAGAAAUGGAUGAAGGCCUACAGAUGACGUCAUGUCCGGUUGAAUGAACCUGUGAUCGACGGCAACUACCACAUGUUCAAGAUAACAUGGUUCUGAUGGCUUCUUCGGAGGAUGUCGUUCAGUGCACACUGAGCUGUUCGAAGUUUAGAUGAGAUUCGGCUCCUCCAAGUCGGAGAUCGUGUUUCUCGGCUGACAAAAGCUUCCUGCUCAUGACCACAGAGGAAGAACUGAAACGGUUCAGUUUUACUGCUGCGAGUCUCUGAGGGUUUGCCCAAAUGUGUGCGAGCUGCGCCCUCUAGUGGUACUAAAAGACACGUGCAGUUCCGACUAAGACCAGUAAAAGGCUCAUUGUUGGAGAAUCGGUGUUAUUGCGCCGCAACGUCUGAGUUAGAAGAGACAUUUCAACAUAAAGAGACUCUGUUUAGUUGCUUUCUUACACAUUUUGCACAUUUUAGUACAUUUUAUACUGGAUGUGUUGAUUACCAACGUUCAGCAGAUUUUAUUUAUUUAUUUAAAUGUAAUUUCUGGAUGCCAUUUUCUCCUCUAAUGAGCUUUUAUGUAAGGAGUUUUGGUCAUACUACUUUGAAUCUCGUUUAGUUUUGAGGAUAUGAUAAGACAAACUAAUGUUUAAUGAUUAAAAAUACAUAAAAAGAAAGAAAGAAAACCAAACUAAUGAUAUGAAGCAUGAAUGUUUAAGAAGCGCGGCUGUUCCCAUGUUUUCUGCAAUGACCCACUGCCAAAGAUCCACCCAUCCUCCUCCCUGUGUGUGUCUGUCUCUCUCUCUCUCUCCCUCUCUCUCUCUCACACGCACGCACAUGGCAGGACAUAUGACUGUCAGCAGUAGCAGAUGUCCUGACAGUCUGGAAGUCUGGAGGCAGAGUUGUGGAUCUUGUCCUGAAGGGCCUUGACACGCGAUGUAUCAGCAUACAUUACACACACGCCGCACUAAUAUUCACAAUCUGGUUGCUUUUGCAGCAAAUGAGCUGCAGUUUAGAGCUUCCUUUUCUUUACAAACGCAGCUUUGUUUGCUGUGGUUCUUAGUUUUGAACCUUUAAAUUCUCUCCUGGUUCCUGUACUGGUGAACUCUUUGCAUCCUUUCUGCAUAAAGUUAAAGCCAAACCUUGUUUUAUAAUUAUAUGAAUGAUAUUUGCAUAGAACUAUGAAAUAAUUUGUGGAAACAAAUGUAUUUAGUGGUAAUCGAUGCAAAAUCAUAGUAAAAGAAACUUUUUUACUGCAAAUCUUUAAUCCAAAGGCUUAUUUCCUGCCAUGUUGAAUCAAUCAUUUAUAUUAUGUGUUACUAGAACAGCACAAUCUGUUUUUAUAUAUCUACAGCUCUAAUGAAGAGCCCACUG